rnacentral:pre_miRNA from 1 species
UUAUUACUCCCUUCGUUCGGAAAUACUUGUCAUACGAAUGGAUUUAUUUAGAUGUAUUUCAGUUCUAGAUACAUCUAGUUUUAUUAAUUUGUACGACAAAUAAUUUCGGAUGGAGAAAGUAUUAA